AUGGCGACGCUUGCGGUUGUGGGGCAUGCGGCGGCGGUGACGCAGCUCGUCGGCAACGCGUUCGGGCUCAUCUGCAAGAUCAAGCGGGCGGUGGAGACGGCGCGCCAGAACAAGCUGGAGUGCGACCUCAUCGCGCGGCGCGUGCCCACCAUCAACGGGGUGCUGUCUAGCCUGCCGCAGGAACCGGAGGUGGUGGCGCCGCUCGAGGAGCUCAAUAGCACGCUGCAGGAGGCGCACGACAUGGUGGUCGCCUGCCGGGAUCGGAGCUCCGCCAACCUGUUCUUCAGGUCCCGCCGUCACGCCGAGUGCUUCACCCAAGUCAACCUCAGGAUCAUGUCCGACAUCAGCGUCCUCAAUCUCUGCCUCCUCAACAUCAUCGCCCGGCGGCAGACAACGACGAUGGCCUCGGUGCCAUCGUCGGAGUCCAGCUCUGGCUACCCGCAGCAGACUCACAUGGUGGUGGUACCGGAUUGCCCCAGGAUGUUCAUGCUAGCGGAAAUUGCAGCGGCGACCAACAACUUCGCCGUCGAGCUCGGCGCAGGCUGCUCGGGGAAGGUGUACAAGGGCCGCCUCCGCGACGGCCCGGAGGUGGCCGUGAAGGUGUUGGACAAGCAUGGGCGACAGGACGUGGAGCACGCGUUUGUGACGGAGCUCGAGAUCCUCUUCCCCCUCCGCCACGAUCACAUCCUGGGGCUCGUCGGCUGGUAUACGGAGGAGAAGGACCCCAUGUUCGUCUACCAGCACGAGCAUAUGAGCAAUGGCACAUUCAGAGGCCACCUGAUGCACGUGGGCCUGCGCACGCGCAUGCGCGUUCGCCUGAGCGGCGGCUUUAGCUCGACGCCGGCGAGGGUGUGCUGGAGGACCCGCGUGGAGGUGCUGCUUGGCGCGUCCCGGGCCGUCGAGCACUUGCACUGCAGCGGUAUCAUCCACCUCGACGUCAGCACAAAAAUUCAACGCCCAAUAAACGUUAUGGCGCGCCACUGUAGCAUUUUUAAUGCGUCGGGACCAACUUUGCUUUAG
rnacentral:rRNA from 1 species